rnacentral:tRNA from 1 species
GGUUAUAUAAUUUAAUGGUAAAAUGUUAGCCUCAUAAACUAGCUUUACAGGUUCGAUUCCUGUUAUAACCU